GUCCACGCCGUAAACGUUGGGCACUAGGUGUGGGGAGGAAUCAACCCUCUCCGUGCCGUAGCUAACGCAUUAAGUGCCCCGCCUGGGGAGUACGGCCGCAAGGCUAAAACUCAAAGGAAUUGACGGGGGCCCGCACAAGCGGCGGAGCAUGUUGCUUAAUUCGAGGCAACGCGAAGAACCUUACCUGGGUUUGACAUGUACGGAAAAGCCAUAGAGAUAUGGUGUCCUUCGGGCCGUACACAGGUGGUGCAUGGCUGUCGU
rnacentral:rRNA from 1 species